rnacentral:sRNA from 1 species
GGAAGGAUCAUUGUCGUUUCCUUAGAUGACAGACCCGCGAACAAGUUAUCAUUGCUUUCUUCAAGCCGRGCGGAGCAUCGUUUCCCACGGGACAKGGUGAUCYGUUCUGCUUCUUGGCAUGUGCCCGUCUUUUUGCCAUCCCCUUUGUGGUCGAUUGCUUGAGCGGUGUACUGCCAAAACAACAAAACCGGCGCUUUUAAGUGUCAAGGAUCAUUKAUUGAAUGAAAGGGGGACAUCCCGCCACAAAAUGAGUGGGGGGAGAAGUGCCCCUUUGCCUUCUAACAAGAACGACUCUCGGCAACGGAUAUCUUGGCUCCYGUCACGAUGAAGAACGUAGCGAAAUGCGAUAGUUGGUGUGAAUUGCAGAAUCCCGUGAAUCAUCGAGUUUUUGAACGCAAGUUGCGCCCGAGGCCAUUCGGCCAAGGGCACGUYUGCCUGGGCGUCACGCUUAGCGUCGCCCUCCCCAGGUCCUCGUGUUUUCGAACCGAGGCCGAGGGAGAGCGGAGGACUGGCCUUCGGUGUCGCUUUCRUCGGCGUCGUCGGCUGAAACUUUCGGCUCACGAUCUGUUGUGCRGCACAACAAGCGGUGGAUUUCCAGUGAGUUGUUGUGYUUCRCGUGGUCAAAGGGCCAUGGGACUCGAGGCAAGGAUMUCAUUUUCUUGCCUUAGCUUUGCGACCCCAGGUCAG